rnacentral:rRNA from 1 species
GUAGGGGGCAAGCGUUGCUCGGAAUUACUGGGCGUAAAGGGAGUGCAGGCGGCCGGUUAAGUCAAAGAUGAAAUCCCGAGGCUCAACUUCGGAAUGGUCUUUGAUACUGAUCGGCUUGAGGCUGGUUGAGGAGAGCGGAAUUCCCGGUGGAGCGGUGAAAUGCGUAGAUAUCGGGAGGAACACCAGAGGCGAAGGCGGUUCUCUAAACUAGUCCUGACGCUGAGACUCGAAAGCUAGGGGAGCAAACGGGAUUAGAUACCCCGGUAGUCCUAGCUGUAAACGAUGAGUGCUGGGUGGUAGGGGGUUCUAACCCCCCCUGUGCCGAAGCUAACGCAUUAAGCACUCCGCCUGGGGAGUACGGUCGCAAGGCUG